rnacentral:tRNA from 1 species
GUCAGGAUGGCCGAGUGGUCUAAGGCGCCAGACUCAAGGAUUGUCUCCUUCCGCAGAAACGGGAAUUCUGGUCUCCGAAUGGAGGCGUGGGUUCGAAUCCCACUUCUGACA